rnacentral:rRNA from 1 species
GACGAACGCUGGCGGCGUGCCUAAUACAUGCAAGUUGAGCGCUGAAGGUUGGUACUUGUACCAACUGGAUGAGCAGCGAACGGGUGAGUAACGCGUGGGGAAUCUGCCUUUGAGCGGGGGACAACAUUUGGAAACGAAUGCUAAUACCGCAUAAAAACUUUAAACACAAGUUUUAAGUUUGAAAGAUGCAAUUGCAUCACUCAAAGAUGAUCCCGCGUUGUAUUAGCUAGUUGGUGAGGUAAAGGCUCACCAAGGCGAUGAUACAUAGCCGACCUGAGAGGGUGAUCGGCCACAUUGGGACUGAGACACGGCCCAAACUCCUACGGGAGGCAGCAGUAGGGAAUCUUCGGCAAUGGACGAAAGUCUGACCGAGCAACGCCGCGUGAGUGAAGAAGAUUUUCGGAUCGUAAAACUCUGUUGGUAGAGAAGAACGUUGGUGAGAGUGGAAAGCUCAUCAAGUGACGGUAACUACCCAGGAAGGGACGGCUAACUACGUG